rnacentral:misc_RNA from 1 species
ACACUCUUUUCUAGAUUUAA